CCUACGGGUGGCAGCAGUGAGGAAUAUUGGUCAAUGGACGAGAGUCUGAACCAGCCAAGUAGCGUGAAGGAUGACUGCCCUAUGGGUUGUAAACUUCUUUUAUAAAGGAAUAAAACGAGCCACGUGUGCCCUUUUGUAUGUACUUUAUGAAUAAGGAUCGGCUAACUCCGUGCCAGCAGCCGCGGUAAGACGGGGGAUCCGGACGUUUACCGGAUUUAAUUGGGUUAAAGGGGGCGUAGGUGGGUGUGUCAGUCAGUUGGGAAAGUUUGCGGCUAAACCGUAAAAUUGCAAUUGAUACUGGCAGUCUUGAGUACAGUUGAGGUAUGCGGAAUGCGUGGUGUAGCGGUGAAAUGCUUAGAUAUCACGAAGAACCCCGAUUGCGAAGGCAGCUUACUGAACUGCAACUGACAUUGAUGCUCGAAAGUGUGGGUAUCAAACAGGAUUAGAUACCCCUGUAGUC
rnacentral:rRNA from 1 species